AUGGUGCAGAGGCCAAAGAUUUAUCGGUGUAGGAUGAGCUCGCGUCUGAUUAGCUAGUUGGUGAGGUAAUGGCUCACCAAGGCGACGAUCAGUAGCCGGCCUGAGAGGGUGAACGGCCACACUGGAACUGAGACACGGUCCAGACUCCUACGGAAGGCAGCAGUGGGGAAUAUUGGGCAAUGGGCGCAAGCCUGACCCAGCAACGCCGUGUGAGGGAUGAAGGCCUUCGGGUCGUAAACCUCUGUCAGAAGGGAAGAAUGGGCAUAGUUCGAAUAGGGCUAUGUUGUGACGGUACCUUCAGAGGAAGCACCGGCUAACUCCGUGCCAGCAGCCGCGGUAAUACGGAGGGUGCGAGCGUUAUUCGGAAUCACUGGGCGUAAAGGGCGCGUAGGCGGUCUGGUAAGUCAGGGGUGAAAUCCCACGGCCCAACCGUGGAAACUGCCUUUGAAACUGCUGGGCUUGGAUCCUGGAGAGGGUGGCGGAAUUCCUGGUGUAGGAGUGAAAUCCGUAGAUAUCAGGAGGAACACCGGUGGCAAAGGCGGCCACCUGGACAGGUAUCGACGCUGAGGCGCGAAAGUGUGGGGAGCAAACAGGAUUAGAUACCCUGGUAGUCCACACCGUAAACGAUGGAUACUAGGUGUUGGGGGGAUUUCCCUCAGUGCCGGAGCUAACGCGUUAAGUAUCCCGCCUGGGGAGUACGGUCGCAAGGCUGAAACUCAAAGAAAUUGACGGGGGCCCGCACAAGCGGUGGAGUAUGUGGUUUAAUUCGAUGCAACGCGAAGAACCUUACCUGGGCUUGACAUCCUGGGAAUCCUGCAGAGAUGCGGGAGUGCCCUUCGGGGAACCCAGAGACAGGUGCUGCAUGGCUGUCGUCAGCUCGUGCCGUGAGGUGUUGGGUUAAGUCCCGCAACGAGCGCAACCCUUGUUCCUAGUUGCCAUCAGGUAAGGCUGGGCACUCUAGGGAGACUGCCCGGGUCAACCGGGAGGAAGGUGGGGACGACGUCAAGUCAUCAUGGCCCUUACGCCCAGGGCUACACACGUACUACAAUGGCGGGUACAAAGGGCAGCGAUACCGCGAGGUGGAGCGAAUCCCAAAAAACCCGUCGUAGUCCGGAUUGCAGUCUGCAACUCGACUGCAUGAAGUUGGAAUCGCUAGUAAUCGCGGAUCAGCAUGCCGCGGUGAAUACGUUCCCGGGCCCUU
rnacentral:rRNA from 1 species